UUAUCCUUGAUGUUUCUACAACUUGAUUAGAGUCCACCUGUGGUAAAUUCAAUUGAUUGGACAUGCUUUGUAAAGGCACACACCUGUCUAUAUAAGGUCCUACAGUUGACAGUAGAUGUCAGAGAGAUGCUUGAUGAUACUGGGGUGAAGGUUCACCAUCCAACAGGACAACAACCCUAAACACACAGUCAAGACAACGCAGGAGGGGCUUCUGGGCAAGUCUCGUAAUGUCCUUGAGUGACCCAGCCAGAGCCCGGCCACUGCUCGGAGCCUGGUUGCUGUCUAGGUUUAUUCCUAGGUUCCUUCCUUCUAGGGAGUAUUUACUAGCCACUGUGCUUCUGCAUUGCUCUUUGGGGUUUUAGUCUCGGUACCUGCACCCUCAGCGGAGUCAACGAACACCGGAAGCAUCCGUUUUUCAGGGAAAAGGCAGAGAGGAAGUCAAAGCCUGAAAAUAACAAGCUUCUGGUGUUUCACACCAACUGACUGGUUCUUCUGAUGUUGUUCACACAGGAGACCAUAUUGAGACAUUAUCUACAUCCAGAGAGCAACAGCAGGAAGAUCAGAGCUAGGAGGUCUCACCACUGCCUACAUUGAGGAGAUUUUCCCAAUUCUAUCAAAGCUAAAAAUACACACAGGAGAGAAUCUGUAUCUCUGCUCUGACAGUUCAUAAUUCAACACUGGAGAGAAGGCCUACUCCUGUUCUGACUGCAAGAAUAUUAUCUCUCAGCAGAGCAACUUAACACCAACGUAUGUAUACACACAGGAGAGAAGCUUUACUCCUGCUCUGUUGGAAGAGUUUCUCUCAACAUGGCCACUUAAAAAGACACCAACAUACAUAAAUGUGAGAAACCUCAUCUGUUCUCUGACUAGUGAAGAUUAAAAUAAUUCCUUCACUUAAUUAUCAACAAGUUGUAACACACUCUAUUGUAGUCCUAUUGUUUCUCACUUUGAGAGAUCUGUGCAGAGGAAAGGGAGUGUUAUAGAAUGUUAGCCUCUCUUUACUUUACUGAUCAGUAUGCACCUGGUCAGUUUUGGUGUGUUUUGAACAAAUUCUUAUUUUCAAUGACGGCCUAGGAACAGUGGGUUAACUGCCUGUUCAGGGGCAGAACGACAGAUUUGUACCUUGUCAGCUCGCAACUCGCAACCUUCCGGUUACUAGUCCAACGCUCUAACCACUAGGCUACCCUGCCUAUAUAUAUUCAAUGUUAUCUUAUAAGGAAGGGUUGAAUUUGGACUUUUCUGUAGUCAUUAGAAGUUAGAAACAGGAAUGUUUAUUUAGGGUUUGAACUAACGGGUUGCCUCCCACAAUGUAGACAAUGGCUGUUGCGAUUUAACCACAUGAUUAAAGAUGCUGUCUUUGUCUCAGCUUAGACUUCCCUUAGAGUAUACGUCAGAGGUUCAAACUGCUACUAUGCUAACAAGAAUGAACAAGAAUAUAAAUAAAGACCAUAUAAAGACAUGUCUGUCCCGGAAAGUUGGCUGCUGUAUACAGAGUCAUUCUAGUCACGUUAACAACAAGCAUCCCGGUUUAGGGACAGCAAUCCCGUAGAGGUUUUAAACUGUAUGUACUUAAUAUUUGAAUGAAAUAAAAUGGUUUUAAAAUGGUAUCUCACCCCUUAAUGAAUGGGAAGCUCUCCUUAACUCUCCCACCCCGGUCUGUAGCUAAGAAAAAAGACUUACGGAAAAGCCGUGUGUGUGUGUGCGUGCGUGUGCUGGUGUGCGUGUGUGUGUUUCAAAAACAAAAGGUAGGGGGUGUGUUCAACAAUGCCCAGGCAUCUGCACUCAAGGCUCUCUCUCUCUGCAGGGGUCGUUUGAAACCAAGGUUUCACUAUCAUGCAAACGGUAUGUACAGAUACCUGCCUAUCCCCCAUCAAAAAGUGUGACGGCGUCUCUUAAAAUGGUGAUUUUCGAUUCAUUAACACAUAUGCCUUUCAAAUCCUAAUUUAUCUCACCCUCCAGAGGAUGUGAAGGCUAAAAAGUCAACCAGCCCCCAGAAAGAAUACACCAUGUCUAGACCGACCCCCAGGGAUAAACAUUGAUAUUUCUAAUCAGCGCAUAUACUAACCGUGCCCCCACUCCGGUCUAUACAUUUACAUCGGACACCCUCCAAGGUGCUAACCCUGAGGAUGUAGGAAAUCAAAAGGGCCACGUCUUACUGUCUCGACACCCCUCCUGUUGUUUGAAAUCACUACCUUUGUAAUCUAAACCAAAAUAUACAGGGUGUUGCAAACAGGAUAUCGCCCGAAAAAACGUCACCCCCCAUGCCCUGUAAAUGCAUUCCGUAGUAUCUCUCCUUUUGAGCCAAGACGGAGGAGCGAGUGUCCGAUCCACUAUGUUAGCACCGCUUUAGCGCAGCUACAAACCCACAGGCCAGCAACCCCGAAUAGUUAUCGGACUGAACAUUUAAAAGGAUCAUCUGUGAAUCCGUCCUAAUGGAGCUUUCUGAAGUUUGUAGGGUCUCCAAGAUUUACGCAGCUGCUCAGAGGGAUAAAUGAUCUGGAACAGACAGCGUUAGACGGCGAUUCUCAGGAGCAAAUCGCAUGCAGCCAAACCCCGUCACAUUAUUGUAGACCUGACAUACAGCCAAGAAGAAUAACGGGGUCCAUGUGGACCCUGAACGGCUUCGGAAGAGCAGAUGACAGAUCCGAUGACACAGAUGCAAUUCUCCCGUUCUGUACGAACGUUUUUUCAAACACACCGAGAACAGAGGAUUUAAACGUCCGGUCAACUCCCCUGGGAACCUCCACCAGCUCGCUCCAUAUUCCUAACCCAAGCAAACAACGCACAACUCGGGCGCAAAUACAUUGCUCAGAAUCAACCCCUCCGGAAAAGUACGACAGGACAGGGAAUUUACGAGACGGCGCUCCAUGGACACGGCUCCAACGAGACAGGCCUGGCAGAAUCGGGAAUUCUUGGUGACAAAAGUCAAGCCCCCCCCCCGGUUUACGCGAUUCGGUCAGAACAGAGACUCCUCCCCGGCGUAUAAUGGCACCGAAUACCUCACACAUCUUAAGCGCGAGGAGGAUCCCGGCUCACCGAACAUUCCCAAUGAAACAACCAAAACGGAGGAUUUAAACCUUAUAAAUGACAUUUCCGAGGCAGACGACCGGUUAUUAUGGGAUGCGGCCAACCUUCUUGAUUCUGCCAAUUCUGUGGUGACAACAGACGGAUCUGAAAUAGAACAAGCUAGGUUUUUCACAGCCUUUUCCAGGGCUCUAAAAUCCCGAAAGGUUUUGCUACACAGACGCCUGGGUGUUUUACUAGAGCGCCAAUACCGUCAGGAUAUAUCCUUCUGGCAUAGAGCAAUUCCACGUAUGUUAAACAGCAAUCCGAUUAAAAAACGCAAAUACAGGCGUUAAAAGCAUAUAUGUUACACGGAUCCUCCCAGAAUAACCCAAGAACACACAUCAUUAAUUAUCCAUAUGGCUGACCCAACAGACCUAGGCGAGACAGUUGAAAACCUCUUAUCCCAGAUACCGCCAGAAUUCCAAGCUAUAAUUAACCAUAUGAAAGAGGCGGGGGUAAACAGACAUAAUACCAAUAGAUGAAAGCAUAUUAUCACAGAUUCCAGCCGAACUCAUAGAAAUUAUUAAUCGUAUGAAUGAGUCAGCGCCGUCCGACGAAAACCUGUUAUCACAGAUUCCCGAAGCCCCCAUAUCGCUAAUUACCCAGAUGAAGAGAGCCUGAGAUCUAAUUCUGCAACACACACCCCUCAAAACCAGACAUUAACACCCAUGUCCGAAGAGUCUGAAACGCAAUACGAUGUUUUUGAGGAAUUGGAAAAUUGUCUAAUAAAUCAGGAUGGAAACGGUAUGGAUAGAAGUGUUCGUGUUGGGUACCGAAAUCAAUUAAACAAUACAGAGAUUCGACAGUUUUUCAAUUUCGCAUGGGUGAAUCAGAAUCUUGACUACGCUGUGUUUUACGUAAUGAUAUUGGACACUCUGAAUGAACUGUUAGAAAGGGCUAGAGAUUAUGGCGAACCACGUGAUGUCUUACAGUUGGAAAUUUGUGGAGAUUGCCUGUAUAACACGGUAUCUCUUAUUUUGACCAAUGGCGAAGCAGAUCUUGAACAAUUUAUGGCCCUGCUAGAACGACUUGUUCAGUCAAAUGUAUCCGUCAUAGCCGAUAGGACCCUCGAGCUUGUAGUGCAAAUAAUACGUCAACCCCAGGGUGGUGGUGGGCAGAGAAGGAAGCUAGAUAGCAUAAUGCAGUCAGAAAUCCUAAGCAAUAAAAGGGUCUACCUCAAACGUUCACAAUCCCGGUAAUAAGCUAUGCUUUGCAAAAGGUCUGUCCCAUUUACUCAACACGGGAUGUACUGAUCUAGCGGCGUUACAACGGUAUACAGGAUGCUGUGGCUUUCUCUGACAUACUCAAAUUUGAAAACUUUCUGAAUAUCAAGAUUGUGGUUUUGUACCACAGUAGAGCUAAUGCAGCUCUUUUGAAAUUCCAAAACAACCCCCAACCUCAUCCUCAGACUCUGUACUUUUAUGUGCAAAACGAACAUUACAGCGUUUUUAGGCGCACCAUAUGUGUCCAUCCUGCCAUACCGGCUACACCCGAAUGGGGGGGGGGGGCACUCGUGCCGUUAUAACUGUUCAGUAUGUCUGGAUAAAAAUUGUCCUAUGCAACCCUUACACUUGACACCCUGUGAGGAUUGCCACCGCACAUGUCGUUCCGCCUACUGUUACGAAAAACACAAAAUUGAAACAUGGCACCCCAAGGCCUGUAAAUCUGUAAGCAGUUGUGACAUUAACAAGAAAUGCCCAAAAUGCCAUUGUAAUUACAACCUUAAUAUAGAUAGCCCUAAACCGCAUGUGUGUGGAAUCAUACAUUGCUCAAUCUGUAAAGGGCCUUUGAAAAGCAGAGACACUGAAGUGGUUCAAGAAGUGCAACACAAAAGUGUUAUAUUCAGUCCGUGGCUGAAGUUGAACAUUCAGAGAAAUAAAGUGUUAUAUGAUUGAGAUAAAUCAGCAAUCAGGGGUUCAUUUGCCUAUUUUUGUAUCGACCAUGACUUUCAAGGGUGAAAAGUGGUCGGCCGAGGGACCCAAUUGUGCACUGUUCUUUCUAAAACACUUUAGAAAACCCCAAUACAGAAACUUCACGUUUAUAGCACACAAUGCUCGAGCCUAUGACCUUCUUCUGAACCCCUUGAUACAGCAAGGCGUUGCACCCAGUGUCAUAGCUCAAGGUAGUAAAAUCUUGUGUUUUGUAGACCCCGCCUUCAACCAGAGAUAGAUUGACAGUUUAAGCUUCUUACCCAUGAGAUUGGCUCAAAUGCCAAAGGCCUUGGGUUUUGAAAACUCUGUGAAAGGCUGGUUCCCCGCACUUCUUCACAUCUGAGGAGAAUCUACAUUAUAUUGGAUCUUAUCCCUGCCCCGAAAUGUACGGGUGUGAUCAAAUGUCUCCCAAAGAGCGUGAGAGAUUCAUGACAUGGUACGAGACAGUAAGACAUGGCCCCUUUGAUUUCCAUAAAGAGAUGGAAUCAUACUGUGACAAUGAUGUGGUUAUACUUGGUGAAGGAUGCCUCAGAUUCAGAGAAGAGGUAAUCAAAGAUGCAGGCAUUGACCCCUGGAGUUGUACAACUAUUGCAUCGGCGUGCAUGAAAACCUAUCGUAUGAGUACAACGGUUGUUUCUUCCACGGUUGUAAAUCUUGCUUUGUGCCCCCGGCCAUGUGUGUCCUAACCCAAAAGAUUUUUGUGGAAAUGUAUCAAGAGUUUCAAAAGAAAUUGGAUUCUUUCCAGGCUACUUUCAGGUUAAAAGUUGUGGUUUUGUGGGAGCACGAAUGGACAGCCCUCAAAAAGUCUGAUCCUCAUGUUCAAGCCUUCCUUUCCAGCUACGACACACUAGAACCCCUGGAACCACGACAGGCCUUAUUUAUGUUUAUGGAGAGUAUAUGCAUCCUGCUCUGAUAACCACUCAUUCACUUUAGAAUCACUUAACCGGCUACCUGUUUCUUCGGCUAUAGCUCUCUGUAAAUGUUCCUUACCACCAUAAGACCCGGGGUUAGAGGGAUUAUAAUAAAUGUUUUUCAACAUCUGCUCCGCCAUCCUUCUUGCCUCUCUGAGGUACAAUAACGUUAAUGAGCCACUUUCAAAUAACGACAACAUUUCAUUUUCAUUAUAGAAUUUUUAUUUUAUUCAUGCAUCAAGUAUUACGUAUACAGACAAUUCAGGAUUCUUUGCAGGAUACAUGUCCCAGUUUUCUCAACGAUCACAGCAUGCAACACCCUGUAUAUUUGGUUUUGAUUUAGACUUGUGUCGCUGAACUUUUAAAACACACAUGUCCGAUAUAUAAGCAUAUAAACACCAAAUAUGAUACACGUUACAAUUAAAUGGUGUUUCAAACAAAUAAAGUAAAAUCUUAGACAAAGUUGUUUCUAGUUCUAGUUUC